GACAGAGGGUGCAAACGUUGCUCGGAAUCACUGGGCGUAAAGAGCGCGUAGGCGGUCUGUUAAGUGAGAAGUGAAAUCUCCAGGGCUCAACCCGGAAACUGCUUUUCAUACUGCCAGACUGGAGGGAUGCAGAGGUGAGUGGAAUUCCUGGUGUACCGGUGAAAUGGGUAGAUAUCAGGAGGAACACCCGUGGCGAAGGCGGCUCACUGGGCAUCACCUGACGCUGAGGCGCGAAAGUGUGGGUAGCAAACAGG
rnacentral:rRNA from 1 species